CCUACGGGAGACAGCAGUGAGGAAUAUUGGUCAAUGGUCGGGAGACUGAACCAGCCAAGCCGCGUGAGGGAUGAAGGUACAGAGUAUCGUAAACCUCUUUUGUCAGGGAACAAAGACGGGGACGCGUCCCCGGAUGAGUGUACCUGAAGAAAAAGCAUCGGCUAACUCCGUGCCAGCAGCCGCGGUAAUACGGAGGAUGCGAGCGUUAGCCGGAUUUAUGGGGGUUAAAGGGUGCGCAGGCGGUCUGUUAAGUCAGCGGUCAAAGCCCGGGGCUCAACCCCGGCCCGCCGUUGAAACUGGCAGUCUCGAGUUGGAGAGAAGUAUGCGGAAUGCGCGGUGUAGCGGUGAAAUGCAUAGAUAUCGCGCAGAACUCCGAUUGCGAAGGCAGCAUGCCGGCUCCACACUGACGCUGAGGCACGAAAGCGUGGGUAUCGAACAGGAUUAGAUACCCCAGUAGUC
rnacentral:rRNA from 1 species